UCCAUGAUGGCCGAGGUAUUAGGCAUCGAGCUUUUAACUCGAUUACAGUUCUUACUUCAGGAU
rnacentral:tRNA from 1 species